GGGCGUACCUCGUCUUCCCCGCCCGGAACUUGUGCACGGAGGCCCUCCAGCUCUUGUCGUCGAGGAAGAACUCGAAGGAGUAGAGGAAGUUGCGGAGCUGCAGGUGCAGGAUCUCCGGGGUGCCGUCGCACCAGCGGAGGAGGUCGAUGGUGUGGCCGCUGGGGAUCUCGUCGACGUCGGACAUGAUCAGGAGGUCGCCGUCGGAGAUGCCCGCGUGGCGGAGCAGCUGGUCCAGGGCGACCCGCUGGUAGGACUCCUCCACGAAGGGGUUCUCGCCCUUCACGAACCGGCCGGCGAUGGUGCCGUAGGUCAACCUGGGCUUCACGAACUGGAAGUCUUCCCGGUGCUCGGAGAAGAAGAGCGGCUUGGGGAUGCCGGUGAAG
rnacentral:lncRNA from 1 species